rnacentral:rRNA from 1 species
AUGUUCGAAAUGAUGUCUGGGUUAAAAGUUAAUUUUCACAAGAGUGAAAUCUUAACUGUGGGGUGCGAUGACCAUAUUAAUAAAGCUUAUGCAGAUCUCUUUAACUGUGAUAUUUGUCACUUUCCUCUUAAGUACUUAGGGAUGCCUGUGAGCUUUACUGCCCUUCGGAACUCGGACUGGGAGUUCAUCGUUGACAAAUAUUUAGUCAGGUUUGAUGCUUGGGUUGGUAACGCUGGCUCUGUGGGAGGGAGACACGCCCUUAUGGACUCAGUGGUCACCCAACUCUCUCUCUAUCACAUGUCAAUGUGGAUGAUGAAUAAGACUUUUGUGGAAAAGCUGGAUAAGCAUAGGAGGAGAUUUUUCUGGCAGGGUGCUAAUAAAAACGUCGAUAUCAUUUGGUUCGAUGGAGCAGAAUUUGUAGGUCCAAAGAGAAAGGUGGACUGGGUAUCAAAGACUUACGCAAACAAAACAUCAGUCUUAUGCUUAAAUGGUGGUGGAAAUUGGAUACCCAACAUGGGAUUUGGCAAGAUGUUGUGA